GUGUUAUCGGCUAAAAUUACAACACAAUAAACAAGAACUGACAAUAAUGGGGUAUUGAAAGAGUUCCUUUACCUAUCUAUCUCAGGAUAGGAUAUCAAAAUCAGCAACUCUUUCAUGCAGAUUUGCAACAAAACUUAACUUGAACCCUUCCUCUUCUUUCUUGAUUUGACGGGCUUUUCCGCAUUCACUUUUGAGGUCUCCUCGUUGAGCAAAUGUUCAUUCGAGGUCUUCCUCUUCUUUCUUGAUUUAGCAUCCUCUGCCGGGAUCUCCUCGUUGAGCAAAUGCUCAUUUGAGUUCUUUCUCUUCUUUCUUGAUUUAGAGGCCUCUUUUGGACUCUCGUCCUUGAGCAAAUGUUCAUAGUCGUCAAGGCUAGCAAAUGGGGAUUUUCCGGCAGUACGCUUGUCUUUCUUUCUUUUAUUUUUCCUUCGAUGUACAUCAUCCUCCUCUUCGUCAUCUUCAUUUGCCUUUUCUGUAUCAUUGUCUUCAUCACUGCCAAGAUUAGUGUCAGAUUCAUCAUGUGCCAAAAGGGUAUCCAGAUCCUCAUCACUGACAUCACCAAUCAAUUCAUCAUCGUCUUCAUUAGCAACUUCGUCCAAAUCACUGUAAUCAUAUUCACCAUUAGCUUCUGAGGGAAGCACACCGGAUUCUAGCAUGCUGUCAAUUUCCUCAUUUUCACUCUCAUCCGCAGCAUCUUCAUCAAUCUCAUCUUCAACAUCACUCCCAUCUGCAUCCAAAAAU
rnacentral:misc_RNA from 1 species